CCCUUAGAUGUUCUGGGCUGCACGCGUGCUACAAUGGCGCUUGCAACAAGUCUUGCCAACCCGAUAGGGUGAGCGGAUCUUUGAAGAGGCGUCGUGAUCGGGACAGUUGAUUGCAAUUAUUCGACUCGAACGAGGAAUUCCUUGUAAUCGCGAUUCAUCAUAUCGCGCUGAAUACGUCCCUGCCCCUUGUACACACCGCCCGUCGCUCCUACCGAUUGAGCGAUCCGGUGAAUGUUUUGGACUGGCGUCAGAAGCGGUUCGCUCCUGACACUACGAAAUUUUGUAAACCUUAUCGCUUAGAGGAAGGAAAAGUCGUAACA
rnacentral:rRNA from 1 species